rnacentral:misc_RNA from 1 species
AAAAGGAUAGCCUUCUAAGGAUCAUGAUUUAAAUCAUGUUGACAUUUCCUGUCUCAAGGAAUUAAAUGUUGUUAUGUUCUUCUCUUACACAUCAUUUUGUGGUAGUACAUGUUGUGUAUUUGCUUCUCUCAUGCAUCAAAUCUGUUGUAUUCCUGUAUUUUUUUCUGAUAUUCUGUCUUUUCUUGUUGCUUGUGGAAGCAUGUCACUGCCAAUGGUAGUA